GACGUAGGGCGCGAGCGUUGUCCGGAUUUAUUGGGCGUAAAGAGCUCGUAGGCGGCUUGUUGCGUCGACCGUGAAAACCCGUGGCUUAACUGCGGGCUUGCGGUCGAUACGGGCGGGCUGGAGUUCGGUAGGGGAGACUGGAAUUCCUGGUGUAGCGGUGAAAUGUGUAGAGAUCGGGAGGAACACCGGUGGCGAAGGCGGGUCUCUGGGCAUUUCCUGACGCUGAGGCGCGAAAGCGUGGGGAGCAAACGGG
rnacentral:rRNA from 1 species